CCUACGGGUGGCUGCAGUGGGGAAUAUUGGACAAUGGGCGAAAGCCUGAUCCAGCCAUGCCGCGUGUGUGAAGAAGGCCUUCGGGUUGUAAAGCACUUUCAGUGGGGAAGAAAGCCUUGGGGCUAAUACCCUCGAGGAAGGACAUCACCCACAGAAGAAGCACCGGCUAACUCCGUGCCAGCAGCCGCGGUAAUACGGAGGGUGCGAGCGUUAAUCGGAAUUACUGGGCGUAAAGCGCGCGUAGGCGGUCUGAUAAGCCGGUUGUGAAAGCCCCGGGCUCAACCUGGGAACGGCAUCCGGAACUGUCAGGCUAGAGUGCAGGAGAGGAAGGUAGAAUUCCCGGUGUAGCGGUGAAAUGCGUAGAGAUCGGGAGGAAUACCAGUGGCGAAGGCGGCCUUCUGGACUGACACUGACGCUGAGGUGCGAAAGCGUGGGUAGCAAACAGGAUUAGAUACCCUAGUAGC
rnacentral:rRNA from 1 species